rnacentral:rRNA from 1 species
AGCGAACGCUGGCGGCAGGCCUAACACAUGCAAGUCGAACGAUCCUUCGGGAUAGUGGCGGACGGGUGAGUAACACGCGGGAACGUGCCCUUUGGUUCGGAAUAACUCAGGGAAACUUGAGCUAAUACCGGAUGUGCCCUUCGGGGGAAAGAUUUAUCGCCAUUGGAGCGGCCCGCGUUGGAUUAGCUAGUUGGUGGGGUAAAGGCCCACCAAGGCUACGAUCCAUAGCUGGUCUGAGAGGAUGAUCAGCCACACUGGGACUGAGACACGGCCCAGACUCCUACGGGAGGCAGCAGUGGGGAAUCUUGCGCAAUGGGCGAAAGCUUGACGCAGCCAUGCCGCGUGAAUGAUGAAGGUCUUAGGAUUGUAAAAUUCUUUCACCGGGGACGAUAAUGACGGUACCCGGAGAAGAAGCCCCGGCUAACUUCGUGCCAGCCGCCGCGGUAACAC